rnacentral:rRNA from 1 species
UACGUAGGAUGCAAGCGUUGUCCGGAAUUAUUGGGCGUAAAGAGCCUGUAGGCGGUUUGUCGCGUCUGCUGUGAAAUUUCGGGGCUCAACCCCGAACUUGCAGUGGGUACGGGCAGACUAGAGUGUGGUAGGGGAGACUGGAAUUCCUGGUGUAGCGGUGAAAUGCGCAGAUAUCAGGAGGAACACCGAUGGCGAAGGCAGGUCUCUGGGCCACUACUGACGCUGAGAAGCGAAAGCAUGGGGAGCGAACAGG